rnacentral:misc_RNA from 1 species
AAGUCGUAACAAGGUUUCCGUAGGUGAACCUGCGGAAGGAUCAUUAUCACGUAUCCACGUAUCAACCAUCGCGAACUGUUUUACCUUUUGUCGAGAGUGAGGUAGUGGGACAUAGGCCUGCUCAUUUUAAAUGAUUUAAGAGCAUUCAGGGCUUAUGUCUCCAUGGAACCUAAUUUAACGGACCCCUCAGACGGGACUGUUAAAGGCGGUACAUACUCGUUCACUUCAAAUUGUAUUUUCAAAUCAUUUGUUAAACAAUUUAAACUACUUUGAACUUUGACUUAUCUUUUUCAUACUCUUAACGGAGAUGAAAUUCAUUACGAAACUAGAACAACUCUUAGCAACGGAUAUCUUGGUUCUC